GAAUAUUUACAGCCGUACAGUUUGGCUUAAGCCUUUGAAAGACUCUUUAAAGCAUCGAGGGACAGAACUGAGAUUUGCUCCUGACAAAACCUUGCAGUUCCCAGAGGCGUUAUGCUGUCACUCCCAUUUUCCAAGGGAAGAGCCCAUCGUGGAUCUUCUCUCCGCGGUGGGAGGACGUGAGAUUCCUCAGAGUGGGAGAUGUGGGGCUGGCAGGGAAACCUGCCCCAAUCGAGCUGCUGCUUCCUCCCCGUUAAUUGCUUCCGCUCUCAGAACAAAGUCGUUAUGGCUCCUCAGGAAACCCGCAUUACAAAAAGCUGAGAUUUUAGUUUCCCCCUCUCUGCUCCGAUGGCCAGAGCAUCCAGAGCUUUGUGCAGCCCCUGAAAAUGCUCAGCUUCCCAGCUUCAGCCUGGAGAAACGUCAGGGCUACGCCAGCCCUGGCUGGUCCCAGCAAUCCACGGGGAUAAAACACCGGGCAGCCUAAUGGAAAUUAGCCAUGCUAAUGAGCUGCGUUUACUACAGCACGGACUAAAGCAGAAAGCAAUUAGAUUUUCACUUCGACUCGUGCAGAAGGCUAUUUUUGUAACCAAGAGAAUUCAGUCCAAGUUUGUCUAUGAGCUUGCACGUAGUUCUGGAUUUAAAAAAAGAUGAGCCCGUCUCUGCCAAAUUCCACAGAAGAGGGAGAAGAAGUAAGAAGCGAUUUAUCCUUUUUUGCGGUGAUCCACACGCAAGUGGACUCUGAGGCACAUCCAAGGGAUGCUGCUGCAGGUACAGCUCCCUGCACGAGGCACUUCACAGGCCUUCAGAGCUGCUGAGCAGCCAGCACCACGACUCCUGUUUGAGGAAGCAAUGGGAAGACUGGGCUGGAGGAACUCGGGCUUUCCCUGGGUGAUCCACACAUUCCAAAAACCAGCUCCCUCCUGCUUCUUACCUCCUCAGAGGCAAAGGACAUGGACAAUGUCCUUUGGCACGAUGACCAUCCACAAAGGUACUGAGGAACUGACAGCAGAUUAUAGUUACUGAAAACCAGCAUUAUUCUGCUCAACUCAUCUUAUUUUCCUUAAUUUGGGGCUUCUCUUGCUUCACUAAGAGUGUCUCAACUCAGCCUCUCUGCCAGCAAAGCCAGAGGCUCUGACACCCAAAGCAAAUCUUCUGCAAUGAGUUCAGGGGACAGAAAGGAGCGUGUUCCCACGUAGGUGACAGGCUGUAUGUCCCUGACCUCACAAGGACACCUCCUGGAAGCAGAUUUAAGCCCGCUCACUUCAAGCACGAAGGAUUUUCCCCCUUCUCCGAGGCUCGUGGUGGUCGAGCUGGUGAAGACCAACCUUGUAAACUCCUGACUCUGUCACGAAACUCCAGCCUAAUAGCUCCCGUGGUCAGAAAGCGCAGCCAAAGCGCUGCUGGCAGACAGCGGAGUCUAACGGGGAUGUAACUAAUGCCCCCUGAGAUAACAUCAGACAUCACAAAGAUAAGAAAAUACAUGGGUUUGAGAACAAAAUAACAAGAGAACCGCAGGACUGCCUGUUCCUUUGAAAGCUGCUACCAAACACCAGCAUUUCCACUACGGGCAGCAAGUUUCCUAGAACUUCCUGGGAAGCAAAGUAUCCGGCAACGCUUUAAAAUCCACCCGGGUGACUAUUUCCAACAUCUCUGAUCCCAAAGGCAGCGCAGAAGAGGAGCAGCACCACCUGUCAGCGAAACCCAAAGAAGAAAGAGGUUACGGGAGCUAUUUUUCCAUCAAGUUGCUACCAUUUAUUUCUUUAUGGAAAGUUCUUUGGCUGAAGGGCGUCUCUGCGCUGAAACGAGAGUCUGGCAGCUAUUUUCAGUUUACUGGAGUUGACCGAGUGCAUUAUCUGAUUAAAGGAGGCAAUAAAGGUACUUACCAAAUA